rnacentral:lncRNA from 1 species
GACAUUGAGGUUUUCGUCUAUCGCCGCUGGGCCGAUAGGGCUUCUUUUUAAGAUUUGACUUUCCAAGUAAGAUUUUUGUUUGCCUGCUUUUCUCCUGAAAUUUUUUUUUUUUUUUUUUUGGUCGAAGAAGCAGGUAACUUGCAUAUCUUAAGGAAAACAUCGUUUUUGCUUUGCUUUUGUUGUUUAAAGAUCCUAAAAGCUCUUCGUAUUAUGGCCAAGAUCUCUACAUCCAGGAUGUGCUCCUGCAUCUACGCUAUAUUCCUCUUGGAACUCACUUAACUUCUGGCAGAUGUAGUGACUCACGCCGGUAAUCCAGCACUUUGAGAGGCCAGGUCGGAAGGAUUGCUUGCCUCCAGGAGUUGGAGAUCAGCCUGGGCAACACGGUGAGACUUUGCCUCUACAAAAAGUCAGAAAAUUAGCCUGGCGUGGUGGUUCCUGUUGUUCCAGCUACUCCGGAGGCCGAAGUGGGAGGAUCACUUGAACCUGGAAGGUGGAGGCUGCAGUGAGAAAAAGGCAGAGUGAGACCCUGUCUCAAAAACAAUUGUUACUAUUUAUGUGAAGUCUUCCUAGGCUUCCUGAGGCAGAAUUAAUCAUCCCUUUUCACAGCCCUUUAUCUUUACCUCUGUUAUUCUUGUUUUCUACUAGACCAUGAGUUCUUAAAAAACAGAGUGUCUUCUAUGUAUCCCUCCCUCCCUAACACACUGUCUCUCUCACACACACACACAUACACACACACACACACACACACAGCAGCAAUAUAUCCACACUAUAUAAUUGCCAGUUGAAUUAUUGAAUGACAAAAUACUAGGUAUGUCCAACUUGCUAGGCUAAGGGGCUUUCAAGCACACUAGGUGUUCUUCCAGGGACUUGAAAGUCUCCACACCAUCUCAUUUCAUCUCUGGCAUUUAAAAAAAAAAAAAACCGCUUUUGGCCAGGUGCUGUGGCUUAUUCCUACAAUCCCAACACUUUGGUAGGUCAAGGAGGGAGGAUUGCUUGAGCCCAGGAAUUUGAGACCAGCCUGGGCAACAUAGCAAAACCUGUCUCUACAAAAAAUUUUAAAAGUCAGUUCCUGCCCACCCGGGGGUGCAUUGGGUUGUGUUUAACCCGUUUCUGUUGCCGGGUGUGGUGGCUCAUGCCUGUAAUCCCAACACUUUGAGAAUCCGAGGUGGGUGGAUCACUUGAGGCCAGGAGUUCGAGAUCAGCCUGGGCAACGUGGUGAAACCCCAUCUCUACUGAAGAUACAAAAAUUAGCUGGGCAUGGUGGCGCACACCUGUAAUCCCGGCUACUGGGGAGGCUGAGGCAGGAAAAUUGCACGAACCCAGGAGGCAGAGGUUGCAGUGAACCGAGAUUGCACCACUGCACUCCAGCUAUGCAACAGAGUGAAACUUUGUCUCAAAAAAAAAAAUUACCUAGGUGUGGUGGCCUGAGCCUGUGGUUCCAGCUGCUCAGGAGGCUGAGGUGGGAAGAUUGCUUGAGUCCAAAAUUCAAGGCUGCAGUGAGCAGUGUGAUCAUGCCACUUCACACCAGCCAGGACGACAGAGCAAGAGCCUGUGUCAAAAACAAAAAACAAAAAAAAAAUGUUUCUUCAAAUGACCUGCUGAUUGAUGUACGAAAUUUCUUGAGAAUUAAAUAAAACUUUUGAUUAACACAUUCAUAGGUAACAAUUAAUUGUUUAAGUGGCUGGAGAUGCUGUAUUGGACUUGCCCCAAACGCUAGAAGGGAGCAAUAUCCCCUGUCAAUGUACAGGGCAUGAACUGUUCCACUGCUUCAGGAGGUUCCCAGUGUGUUUCAGAUAACACACUAAAAUGCGAGAUCAUCAUUGAAUUUAGCCUUCGUAAAGCAAUUAUUCUCUGCAGCAAAAACUAUAGUUCUUCUAAAAGGCCAAAAAUGAAGUCCAUUUGAGAAUUAAACUGGAAUCACUUUUACCUAGAACAAGAUGCGUACACCUAAGCCAAGGAAAUCGCAGUUUUCAUCUGCUAGAUGCACUCUACAAACGCAGCAGAAGGUUUCCCUAUGUUCAAAUUUUUAAAGUAUUAGUAGGAUAUGUAUGCCAGUUGGCAACCUGGAAUAAACAAUGUGGAAGAAACA